rnacentral:rRNA from 1 species
AUUGAACGCAGGCGGCAGGCCUAACACAUGCAAGUCGAGCGAGAAAGGUCUUCGGACUGAGUACAGCGGCGGACGGGUGAGUAAAGCGUAGGAAUCUACCUGGUAGUGGGGGAUAACUUGGGGAAACUCAAACUAAUACCGCAUACGCCCUACGGGGGAAAGCGGGGGACCUUCGGGCCUCGCGCUAUCAGAUGAGCCUGCGUAGGAUUAGCUAGUUGGUGAGGUAAAGGCUCACCAAGGCGACGAUCCUUAGCUGGUCUGAGAGGAUGAUCAGCCACACUGGGACUGAGACACGGCCCAGACUCCUACGGGAGGCAGCAGUGGGGAAUAUUGCGCAAUGGGCGAAAGCCUGACGCAGCCAUGCCGCGUGUGUGAAGAAGGCCUUAGGGUUGUAAAGCACUUUCAAUUGGGAAGAAAAGUUGGUCGUUAAUAGCGGCCAGCCCUGACAUUACCUUUAGAAGAAGGACCGGCUAACUCCGUGCCAGCAGCCGCGG